rnacentral:rRNA from 1 species
UAAGCGGAGGAAAAGAAACUAACAAGGAUUCCCCUAGUAACGGCGAGGUUGAAGUGGGAAAAGCUCAACUUUGAAAUCUGGUACUUUCAGUAUCCGAAUUGUAGUCUCAAGAAGUGUUUUCUGUGCCGGUCCAUGUAUGAGUCUGUUGGAACACAGCGUCAUAGAGGGUGACAACCCCGUUCAUGACAUGGAUCCCGGUGCUUUGUGAUACACUCUCGAAGAGUCGAGUUGUUUGGGAAUGCAGCUCAAAUUGGGUGGUAAAUUCCAUCUAAAGCUAAAUAUUGGCGAGAGACCGAUAGCAAACAAGUACCGUGAGGGAAAGAUGAAAAGCACUUUGGAAAGAGAGUUAACAGUACGUGAAAUUGUUGAAAGGGAAACGAUUGAAGUCAGACGUGCGUGAUGCGGUUCAGCUUUAGUUCGCUAGAGUGUACUCCGUAUCUUUGCAGGCCAGCAUCGGUUUUGUUAGUCGGAUAAAGGUUUGAGAAAUGUGGCAUCUUCGGAUGUGUUAUAGUCUCAGACUGAAUACGAUUGAUGGGACCGAGGAACGCAGCGCGCCGCAAGGCAAAGGUUCCGACCUUUUCGCGCUUUAGGAUGCUGGUGAAAUGGCUUUAAACGACCCGUCUUGAAACACG